GACGAACGCUGGCGGCGUGCCUAAUACAUGCAAGUUGAGCGCUGAAGGUUGGUACUUGUACCAACUGGAUGAGCAGCGAACGGGUGAGUAACGCGUGGGGAAUCUGCCUUUGAGCGGGGGACAACAUUUGGAAACGAAUGCUAAUACCGCAUAAAAACUUUAAACACAAGUUUUAAGUUUGAAAGAUGCAAUUGCAUCACUCAAAGAUGAUCCCGCGUUGUAUUAGCUAGUUGGUGAGGUAAAGGCUCACCAAGGCGAUGAUACAUAGCCGACCUGAGAGGGUGGUCGGCCACAUUGGGACUGGGACACGGCCCAAACUCCUACGGGGGGCAGCAGUAGGGAAUCUUCGGCAAUGGACGAAAGUCUGACCGAGCAACGCCGCGUGAGUGAAGAAGGUUUUCGGAUCGUAAAACUCUGUUGGUAGAGAAGAACGUUGGUGAGAGUGGAAAGCUCAUCAAGUGACGGUAACUACCCAGAAAGGGACGGCUAACUACGUG
rnacentral:rRNA from 1 species